AAGGCCUGCUGAGGAGAGAGGGCCUGGAUAGAGGUGGUCCCUGAGCUCGGGGAGAUGCCCAGCCCUGAUACAUGGCCAGGUCAGGUGUCCUGUCGCCCUGGUGGCUGCCUGGCCCUCUGCCCUUCUCCCACACCACGGUUGUGGGCGCCUUGGGCAGGUGCACGCCGCGUUCCUUCCUGACCGCCAGCCCCUCGCACCGCGCAAGCAGUGCGCGCUGAGCACGCCGUGUCGUGUGGGUCACUGAACGCCCUGGCGGGAUUCUGGAGAACCACAAAGGACGCGACGCUCCAGAGACAGGACGGAUGCUGACGUGGCCGACUAACAGCAACGAUGUCGUCAUCUGUUCCAGCGGCCACUGGACACCAGUGCAGGCAGCACAGAUGGACAGAGCAUCGGAGCCAAGGACCCCGCCCCGCCAUGGCCAACCGACACGGACACCAGGGCUUUGCUGUUCCUCAGGGACACGUGAGGGAAAACAAUGACCUAAGGAAAGAGCACAAGAUGACGGCACCAUCGAGGGCCAGCGUAGGGCAGGCGGGACCUCGGCUGGACGGUGGCACCUUCUCCCCAGGCCUUCCCGACAGGCCCCUGAACCCCAGGUGUCAGCAGCCGGACCCCCUGGGGACCAGCCUUGGGCACUGGAAGGGCCUCGCAUCUCUCUGCCUCUGCCCUUGGCCAGGAGUGCUCCCUGCUGGCUGGGGUGCCCACUCCAUUCACAUCUAAUUUAGUGCUUCCCAUAACAUGAAAAAAAUGAUUUAAAAAUAAUAACAAAUUUUAUUGAAUGUCAGGCUCUGAGUUAAAUAUUUACACAUUCUGUCCUAAAUGUAGAAUUAAAAAACCAAGAGGUAAAGAAGUUGUCCCAAGCCAGAGAGCUAGGAAAUCCAGAGCCAGAGUCUAAAUCAAUGUCACUCUGUCCCCAAGGCCGGAUGCUGACUGGCUUUCUUUGGAUGUGUAGGUUAAUUUAGAGCAAAAGUUCAGCAAGAAUAUGACCUCCCAGAGGAAAGAAAGAGCAGACGGGACCAUGAUAUCAUUGCAUCCAGGUUCAGGGAAAGGCAAGCCUGACAGCCCAGCUUUUGCUGUGAGCUCCCUAGCAGCCACAGCGAAAAGGGAGAGGCCUCAUAGACCUCGUCACCUGUAGGAGGGAACAAAGUGGUUUACAGAAGGACCUCUGCCCCAUUUCAGAGGGAAAAGUUACAUGCGGUGACGCGCCCCAGAAGAAAGAAGCCCUCCAGGGCAGAGGGUCCCCACUGUUGCCUCGGAGACUCAGGGACCUGUUCUCAGACCUGACGUGGAAGUUCUGCACACCAAGCCUGAAAGCGCGAGUAACUUACGCACGGGCAGCAAGUCUGAAGUUCACGUUCAGGGAAAGCGCGACUGGUCCAGUGUGAAGCAAGGGCACGACUGUCAGCUGGGCGGGGCCACGCUGCCCAGGCAUUUGGUCACGUGUUGCUCUGGGGGUUCCUGCGAGGGCAUUUUCGGACGAGGUUAGCAUUUACACGGGUAGUUUUUACUGUUGUUUGUUUGUUUUUUUGCUGGGGAUUAAACCCAGGACCUCACGCAUGCAAAGCAUGUGCUCCACCGCUGAGCUACACCCUCGCCCCACCCCAAAUGGGUGGAUUUUGAGCAAAGUGGACAGCUGGCCAUAAUGUGGGUGGGCCUCACCUAAUCAGCUGCAAGCCCGAGCCCAACCGAAGGCCGACUCCCCCACCACCCUGAGCAGGAGGAAGUCCUGCAACAGGCGGGCUUCCCUCAGCCGCAUGGGCGCCUGCUAGCUAGCCAGCAGACUGUCUUCAGACGCAGACUGCAGCUCUGCCCUGAGUCUCCUAGCCCGCCUCCCCCAUCAGAUCGCACUUGCCAAGCCGCCACAGCGGGGUGAGUCAGUUCCUUAAGUAAGUGUCCUUCUGUGGACACACAUCUUGUUGGUUCUGUUGGGCUGGAGGAGCCGACUGGCCCUGGCUGUCGGCGGCAGGGACACUGCCCGCAGACCCCCACCCACAGCCUGCGGGUCCUGGUCCUCCCGAGCCCUUCUGCGUGAUGCGGUCCUAGACGGUGGAGGCGAGAAUUCUGCGAAGACCUCCAGCAGCCAGCUCUGGAAAGACACCUCCCCUGCAGGAAGGCUCUGGUGUGAAACCUGAGCAGGUCUGCACACGCCUGGAACCACACUGGGGUCCGGGCCGAGCCGGGCCUGUUGCUGUGUGCGUGGGCCUCCUUCUGUGAGAAGCAGGUCACUGAACCUGCCGGGGCGGGUGGGGGGUGGUGGCACGAGUAAGAGAUGGCGUCAAACAGUAGAAAGCCCACGGCAGCCUGGCAUCAAAGGGCAUGCCCAGGCGGGGGCGUGGGGGAGGCCGAG